GCCUGGCUAGCUGAGUUGGUAGAGCAUGAGACUGUUGAUUUUAGGGUUGUGAGUUUGAGCCCUAUGUUGGGUA
rnacentral:tRNA from 1 species